rnacentral:rRNA from 1 species
CCUACGGGAUGCUGCAGUGGGGGAUAUUGCACAAUGGGGGAAACCCUGAUGCAGCGACGCCGCGUGUGGGAAGACGGUCCUCUGGAUUGUAAACCACUGUCCCCAGGGACGAAGAUGACGGUACCUGGGGCGGAAGCUCCGGCUCACUACGUGCCAGCAGCCGCGGUAAUACGUAGGGAGCGAGCGUUGUCCGGAAGUACUGGGUGUAAAGGGAGCGUAGGCGGGACUGCAAGUUGGGUGUCAAAUCUACCGGCUCAACCGGUAGCCGCACUCAAAACUGCAGUUCUUGAGUGAAGUAGAGGCAGGCGGAAUUCCUAGUGUAGCGGUGAAAUGCGUAGAUAUUAGGAGGAACACCAGUGGCGAAGGCGGACUGCUGGGCUUUUACUGACGCUGAGGCUCGAAAGUGUGGGGAGCAAACAGGAUUAGAUACCCUGGUAGUC